rnacentral:rRNA from 1 species
GAUGAACGCUGGCGGCGUGCCUAAUACAUGCAAGUCGAGCGAACAGACGAGGAGCUUGCUCCUCUGACGUUAGCGGCGGACGGGUGAGUAACACGUGGAUAACCUACUUAUAAGACUGGGAUAACUUCGGGAAACCGGAGCUAAUACCGGAUAAUAUAUUGAACCGCAUGGUUCAAUAGUGAAUGACGGCUUUGCUGUCACUUAUAGAUGGAUCCGCGCCGCAUUAGCUAGUUGGUAAGGUAACGGCUUACCAAGGCAACGAUGCGUAGCCGACCUGAGAGGGUGAUCAGCCACACUGGAACUGAGACACGGUCCAGACUCCUACGGGAGGCAGCAGUAGGGAAUCUUCCGCAAUGGGCGAAAGCCUGACGGAGCAACGCCGCGUGAGUGAUGAAGGUCCUCGGGUCGUAAAACUCUGUUAUUGGGGAAGAACAGAUGUGUAAGUAACUAUGCACGUCUUGACGGUACCUAAUCAGAAAGCAACGGCUAACUACGUG